AGAUGAGCUAAGUCUUCCAUUUUCUGUCUCAAUUUUUCAAGGUAAGCAUAACUUUUACUUAUUGAAGAAUGAUUUUAGAUUUUAGGAUUCAUGGAAAUUUCUUAAAUUCAAGAUUUAAGAAGAAUUAAAGGUUAUUAGUAGGUAUUUGUGGUUUUAAAUAAGAACAUAUCAAAGAAAUGUAUAUUUAGAAGAUUUGUGUUGAAGGGAGAAAAAAAAUAUAUGAAAUGGGUUUGUAAAUUAAAGCCUAAAUCUUCAUAUUUAUUGUGUGUAUAUGAUAUAAAACACUUGAUUUAUGAUAUAUUACCAUGAGAUAUGGAGUUGAAGUUGGAUUUUGGUAUUUUUUAAUUAAUUUUCGGGCAAAGUUCAUGCAAUGAUGCUACUUUUGAAAUUCUGCCCAAAAAAUGAUGUUUUUGUCAAAUAUUUUGGAGCCAGUUUUUCAUAAAUAGGAAAUGGUGCCAGAUUUCUAAAUUCUAGAAAUACGGUGCUGUUCUUGGUAAUCUUUUGUUUUGUUUUUUGUUUUUUGCUUUUUGUUUUUGUUUUUUUUUUUUUUUUUUUUUUGUUUUUUUGUUUUUUUUUUUUUUUUUCUUUUUUUUUUUUUUAUUUUUUUUUUUUUGUUUUUGGAUUUUUAGUAUGAAAACCAAAUUAAGUAUUAAAUAGUAGGGAUUAGAUGUCAAAAUAACUUAUAUAAAGGUGUAUAUGUUAUUAGUACCCUAAUUGGGAUUAUGACAUUACAUUGAAAAUAAAAGAUUUCAAAUUCUUAUUGGUAAAUUGUCAUUUCUAAUGGUAGAAAAAAUGCCUAAAGCACUCUAGUAGUGAGAUAUUAAUUCUUGGGAUGAGUGUGAGAUGUCAUACUUGGUAUUUGAAUGUGAGGAGGUGACAAGAAUAUUGAAGUCACGAUCAAUCUACAACUUAGUGAGUGCAUAUAAACUUACUUUUCAGAAAUUAGUUUUUAUUAAAUUUAUAUUAGAUCAGAAAACUUAUUAUUUCAUACAGUUGAUUUGACAGCAUAAUUUUUAGAACAAAAGUGAAUUUUAUAGUCCUUUUUUUAUAAAUUUAAAUUUAGUACAUUUAAAUAAUUUUCUUAGCAUGUUAUAUUUGCAUUACAUAUUUCUGUAUACUUAAAGUUAUUUUUAAAACCACCAUAAUGUACCCAUGUAAUUUUAUCAUAGUCUACAAAUGUGUGAAUAUGUUUCUACAGUGUAUGACUCUCUAUGGUUAUUUUAUCGACUCUACAUUGGUGUGAAUAUGUUUCUACAAUGUAUGAUCAGUUAUGGUGAUUUUACUCACUCUACACUAUUGUGAAUGUGUUUCUUAGUGUAUGCUCAGAUUAUAGACUUCGAGCAGCUCAGAAUUUCAGAAUUUUAGAAUUACAGAAUUGAUUAACUUCGCCAUGUAUAUCGAUGUUAAUCGAUACAUGAGUAAGGUUAUUUCGGAUACCUUUUUGUUGUGAUUUUUCAGUAUUAUAUAGUUUAUCAGAUUUUAGACUACAGAUUUAGCUUAUUCAGUUUUUAGAGUAAUGAUUUCAACUUGUAAUAUUGUGAAAUGAUAUUUUCACUUAUAUUUACUGAUAUUGGAUUAUUUAUAUUUAUUACAACUUACAGUUGCGUAUCUAGAAUUAAGAACAAAGAAUUUUAUGAUGCAAUAAUGUUUCAUUUUAAAAGUGUUACUAAAUUUCAGAAUUUCUCAAAAUUUUAAUAGAGCAAAAAUUUUCAGAAAAUAUGCACAAAUGGAAAAAGAAUACUCAUUAACAAAUUAUCCACUCAUUAAGUUAUAAGCUCAUAUUUUUUUUUAUCACUCUUUCUCUUACCAUAUAGUAGUUGAGUUGAGCACCAUUGGAACCAGUUGAUCUAACACGUUGAGCCAUACAUUGUCAAUCGUUGUAUGAUUCAUCUUAUUAGUUUAUAUAGUUCAUAUUUUGGGAUAGACACGUCUUUUGGUCCGAAAAUAUUUCCAUGUCAUGGGCCUGUUGUGUUUUGUCUAUAUUAUGUAUUUGAGAACGUUUGUUUGUAAAUAAUUGUAAAGGUCGGUUACUAGUGUAGUAUUUUGAAUAGUUGUGCUUUGAGGGGCUGGUGUACCUAUUUUAAUUUACAUGUACAUGUAAUAUUUCCAAAUUUUGCCUGAAUAAUCUUGAGGAGUAGCGGCCUUCUUCCCCUUCUUUGCCACCCAGGUAAAUUCGAAUACGGACGCAACUUAUACAUACUUGGACCAGACAUUCAGGAUACAAUUUUUCUCUGUAGACCUCCCUUUAUGACGUGUAGACAAGACCCUUGGAGGGGCGACAAAGCGCACUAUAAUUUUGCCUCUACAGGACAACUGCAUUCCAACAUAAAUGUUGCCUUCCAAUUGCCACGGGGAAUCGAAUCUCCGAUGCUUCUUAUAGAACCUGCUUGCUUUACCACUGCGCCAUGCCCGUGGGGACUACAUGUUUGGGAUAUUUGAUUACAUAUCAGGUGGUUUUUAGUUCAUAUUUCAGAGGAAAUUUUGUCAAAAUUUUAUAAAAAUAUGUCACGGUCAAAGCAGGUCAAGGUUACCUUAAUGGUGGUUCCAACACUUAGUUGGUAUCUACCAUCGACGCACGACACGUUUCGGAUCCAAUAGGGUGAUUUAGGACGGGUCGUAUCACACAUACUUUUAUAAGGAUCUUGUUUUGACAUGGUAUAUGUUACCUCCAGGAGAUUUUAGAAUAAAAUUUAUUUAUUUUAUAUUUUAUAUAUUUACAUUUUUGAAAGUUGAGGACUAAAAUGAAAAAUGCUUUAAAUUUCUACUUUAUUUGUUCCAAAUAAUUAGAUUUUGAUAGAGUGAUAUUUAAUAUAUUAAUAUUAGACUCAUUUUAUAGGUCGUAAUUAAUUAGAUGUUUUUGACUCGAGAAAAAGUUAUUUUGGAUAAAAACACAUUAAGUUAGACUCAAUUAAAAGAAAAUAGGAUAAAUAGAAAUUUAUGUAAAUUAUAAAUCAAUUCAUUUUCUCUCUCUAAAAACGUGCAAAGUGGGUAUUGAAUUUUAAUUUUUAGUUUAAUAUUAAUCUAUUUUGAAUUCGAUGUGAUAGCUAGUAUCCUAUUUGGAUAACUAUGAAUUUUUUAUUAAAAUAUAAUCCAAAACUAGGUUUUAUCCAAAAGGGUACAUGUUUUCUAUUAUAACUCAACCAUUUUUUAUUACUAUAACUACUAUACAUGAAUUUCAUAAUUCACACACCAAAAUUUAUACACACGAGAGAGAGAGAGAGAGAGAGAGAGAGAGAGAGGAUACUUUUGGAAACUAGAAGACAGGAAACUAUUUUGCAAUUCUUAAAUAAACGAGGUAAGAUACUUUAGGUGCAAGUGUUUUUGUUUCCUUAUGUGUUUAUAUUCAAUUAAAAAUGCAUAGAUUACCAGUAGACAUUCGUUUUCUUUAAAAAGAGAUAUGAAAUUCUACGGGAUUAUAAGAGGACCUAAGAUGGGUGUGUCGUUUGGUCACCGAUAUACUUUAUAAGAUCAGACGGUAUGAAGUGUAAUUUUUAUUGUUAUAUAUAUGUAUAUGGAAACUGUAUGUAUCUAACUGGGUGUUCUCGAAUACUCACUCUUACAAAUUUUUACAGAUUAGUUCGAGUCGAUUGAAUUUGUAGUAGGGCAGUGAUGCGGGCUGGCAAGAGGAUUGUAGUAACAAAGCAAAUUUUUCAUUAAGUUUUUCUGCCUUCAUUUAUUUUUUAAUUUAUUUUAAGGUAUGUUUAGUGUUAUUUUCCA
rnacentral:lncRNA from 1 species